rnacentral:lncRNA from 1 species
GGAAAAGGCCCUGGCAUAUCCUGACACUAAAAGGAACAUAGAGAAAUUGUCAUAUCUAAAUUUGCCCCAAGUAGAAAGGAGGCUCCCCAAUAGCAGAAGAUGAUAAUCCUAAUGAUGUGCUUGACCACAGACUUCAGAUCCAAAACCUACAUCAUGAAACGAUGUAGCGCCAAAGACGAUCAAUACGUGGAGUGUAUUAGUAUGCAAAACAAUUUCAGAAGGGUAGUACAACAAGAGAUUAGAAGUAACAAUGAAAUUCAAAUAUAAGUGAAGGCAAUUGGAAAGGAACAAGAGUGUAAACUAAAUUUAUAAUUGACCAAGUAAAGUAGAUUUAAUUCCUUUGAUUAUUUGUGGGAGAAAGUAGUGAACCGUCAUAAACUACCAUGUGAGCGCAUGGAGUCUAAUCACGGCCCGAUCAGCUAAGCCAUCCUAUACCUUGCCGGGCAUAGGACGUGACAUGACAUAAUUUGCUAUCAAGUAUCCAUGGUUAGUCCCUUUUUGGGACACAUAAAAAAAAAGAGUCAUUUGACUUACAAAAUAAUAUCUAUCCUAUGUCGGCAAACAUAGUUUCGGGCAUUUGUCAUUUCAACGUAUGCCUUCACGGUCAGCUAACUAACUCCCUUAUGCUCAUGACGUUAUCUUAUUUAUUUGAUUAGCUCUUGAUCAAAAUGUUAGCCUUGGAAGGAUCAUGCUCAUGGUUUAGCCAUUUUAGGCUCACAUACAUAUAUUUGCCGUUUUAGGCUAAUGAUCAUGAAUUUGUCCUUUAGGACUCAUGCUUGGAAAAUCAACCCUUUUGGUAUCAUGCCUCAUGAAUUAUUAUAGUUAUUGAGCAUUUGGGGUGUCAUGAAUGAGGAUAUUGCUCUUACAUACUGUGCAAUAUAUUUACUUAAUAAUAGAGUAGGAUAUUUUUGAAUUAGCGAUGUAACAUUAUGUUCUUUUUUGUUGUCUGAAUGUUGCAGCGAGAGAACAAGUAGUCUGUGCUGGUUCAUGUUUUGUGAUUAUGCAGUUGAAAAAGAAAGUAAAGAAGCAUAUUGCAGCUACAAGGCUACGGCAAUGGUGUAUCAGAUAAGGACUGCUCGAAAGUGGACCGUGUACAAAAACCACGUUAUAGACGGAUAUACAAUCUCACAAUGAAGUCAAAGAAAGAGUGGAUACAUUUAGAAAUUCAAAAAAAUAACUAGGAGAUGUCACCUUUGAUCAACAAAUUAGGUAAAAAAAUAACUAGGAGAGGUCACCUUUGAUCAACAAAUUAUGUAAUUAGUUCUCUCUCACUUCUUUUAAAUAGUGGGGUGCUCUCUACGUGUAAUUGCUUACUUUCCAGAUUGUAAAUAUUUUACAGUUAUUGCCAAAAACGUCAAUGAUUCAUACAUCAAAUCACAAGGGUUGUUGAAACUCACAAAAUUCAGAAAAGAAGAACAUGAAACAGAGAGUUAUCUGUACACACCCAACAACUACUAAACCAUUCAAUUUCAUUGAUAAGAUUGUAGAAAUAAUUUGAAUUGGAUAACAGUAAAACGUCCAGAAACGAGAGUAAGAAAUGGUUCUACAUACCUCAAAACGUUUGAAAGAACUUGAAAUUGGAAGAAGAAAUUUGUACUUGAUUUUCGAUCAAGUCCCUUGUGUUUCUUGGAGUUGAAUCUGGAUAUUUUCUGAUGGAAAACAUAUGAAAACUGAUUGAAAAGUAAAGCUUUUAUCGUGUGAAUCUUGAGGAAAAGAGAAGGACUCUUCUUUUUUUUAACGCACGAAACUGAUGUGAAUAGAGGGGAUUUUAUCUGCUGGAAAAGAAACUAACGCCUCUGCUGAAAAUAAAA